rnacentral:rRNA from 1 species
GACGAACGCUGGCGGCGUGCUUAACACAUGCAAGUCGAACGGUGAAGCGCUUGCCUUUUUGGUGGGUGUGGAUGAGUGGCGAACGGGUGAGUAACACGUGAGUAACCUGCCCUCUUCUUCUGGAUAACCUCAUGAAAGUGGGGCUAAUACGGGGUAUUCCGGGUCUGUCGCAUGGCGGGUUUGGGAAAGAUUGCGCCUUUGGGUGUUUUCGGUGGGGGAUGGGCUCGCGGCCUAUCAGCUUGCUGGUGGGGUGAUGGCCUACCAAGGCGGUGACGGGUAGCCGGCCUGAGAGGGUGGACGGCCACACUGGGACUGAGACACGGCCCAGACUCCUGCGGGAGGCAGCAGUGGGGAAUAUUGCACAAUGGGCGCAAGCCUGAUGCAGCGACGCCGCGUGAGGGAUGGAGGCCUUCGGGUUGUGAACCUCUUUCGCCAGUGAAGCAGGCCUGCUCCUGUGUGGGUGGGUUGACGGUAGCUGGAUAAGAAGCGCCGGCUAACUACGUG